CCUACGGGCGGCAGCAGUGGGGAAUAUUGGACAAUGGGGGCAACCCUGAUCCAGCCAUGCCGCGUGUGUGAAGAAGGCCCUCGGGUUGUAAAGCACUUUCAGUGAGGAAGAACGCCUGGUGGUUAAUACCCAUCAGGAAAGACAUCACUCACAGAAGAAGCACCGGCUAACUCCGUGCCAGCAGCCGCGGUAAUACGGAGGGUGCGAGCGUUAAUCGGAAUUACUGGGCGUAAAGCGCGCGUAGGUGGCUUGAUAAGCCGGUUGUGAAAGCCCCGGGCUCAACCUGGGAACGGCAUCCGGAACUGUCAAGCUAGAGUGCAGGAGAGGAAGGUAGAAUUCCCGGUGUAGCGGUGAAAUGCGUAGAGAUCGGGAGGAAUACCAGUGGCGAAGGCGGCCUUCUGGACUGACACUGACACUGAGGUGUGAAAGCGUGGGUAGCAAACAGGAUUAGAUACCCCGGUAGUC
rnacentral:rRNA from 1 species